rnacentral:rRNA from 1 species
UAGGGAAUCUUCCGCAAUGGGCGAAAGCUUGACGGAGCAACGCCGCGUGAGUGAUGAAGGUCUUCGGAUCGUAAAACUCUGUUAUUAGGGAAGAACAAAUGUGUAAGUAACUAUGCACGUCUUGACGGUACCUAAUCAGAAAGCCACGGCUAACUACGUGCCAGCAGCCGCGGUAAUACGUAGGUGGCAAGCGUUAUCCGGAAUUAUUGGGCGUAAAGCGCGCGGAGGCGGUUUUUUAAGUCUGAUGUGAAAGCCCACGGCUCAACCGUGGAGGGUCAUUGGAAACUGGAAAACUUGAGUGCAGAAGAGGAAAGUGGAAUUCCAUGUGUAGCGGUGAAAUGCGCAGAGAUAUGGAGGAACACCAGUGGCGAAGGCGACUUUCUGGUCUGUAACUGACGCUGAUGUGCGAAAGCGUGGGGAUCAAACAGG